UACGUAGGGGGGCAAGCGUUGUCCGGAAUUAUUGGGCGUAAAGAGCGCGUAGGCGGUCCGAUAAGUCGGCUGUGAAAGUCAGGGGCUCAACCCUUGAAAGCCGGCCGAUACUGUCGGACUAGAGUCCGGAAGAGGCGAGUGGAAUUCCCGGUGUAGCGGUGAAAUGCGCAGAUAUCGGGAGGAACACCAAUGGCGAAGGCAGCUCGCUGGGACGGUACUGACGCUGAGAAGCGAAAGCAUGGGGAGCGAACAGG
rnacentral:rRNA from 1 species